ACUCUGUCUCUUUUAUUUUCUUUUUAAUUUACUUAAGGAAUGCAAAUUUUCCUAUUAAAAUAAUAGACGAGAAGACCCUUAGAAUUAUAAUAAUAAGUAUUAUAUUAAUACCUUUUUUUUGUUGGGGCAACAGGGUAACAAUUUUUUAAACUAUUUGAUUUAACUUGAGUAACUAGCCGAAUUUUUUUAUGAUCGAUUUAAUUACCUUAGGGAUAACAGCAUAAUUUUUUAAAAGUUUGUGACCUCGAUGUUGGAUUAG
rnacentral:rRNA from 1 species